rnacentral:rRNA from 1 species
GAUGAACGCUGGCGGCGUGCUUAACACAUGCAAGUCGAACGAAGCACUUUAUUACAAUUUCUUCGGAAUGACGAUUUAGUGACUGAGUGGCGGACGGGUGAGUAACGCGUGGGUAACCUGCCUUAUACAGGGGGAUAACAGUUAGAAAUGACUGCUAAUACCGCAUAAGCGCACAGGAUUGCAUGAUCUGGUGUGAAAAACUCCGGUGGUAUAAGAUGGACCCGCGUCUGAUUAGCUGGUUGGUGAGGUAACGGCCCACCAAGGCGACGAUCAGUAGCCGACCUGAGAGGGUGACCGGCCACAUUGGGACUGAGACACGGCCCAAACUCCUACGGGAGGCAGCAGUGGGGAAUAUUGCACAAUGGGGGAAACCCUGAUGCAGCGACGCCGCGUGAGCGAAGAAGUAUUUCGGUAUGUAAAGCUCUAUCAGCAGGGAAGAAAAAAAUGACGGUACCUGACUAAGAAGCCCCGGCUAACUACGUGCCAGCAGCCGCGGUAAUACGUAGGGGGCAAGCGUUAUCCGGAUUUACUGGGUGUAAAGGGAGCGCAGGCGGUGCGGCAAGUCUGAUGUGAAAGCCCGGGGCUCAACCCCGGGACUGCAUUGGAAACUGUCGUACUUGAGUAUCGGAGAGGUAAGUGGAAUUCCUAGUGUAGCGGUGAAAUGCGUAGAUAUUAGGAGGAACACCAGUGGCGAAGGCGGCUUACUGGACGAUGACUGACGCUGAGGCUCGAAAGCGUGGGGAGCAAACAGGAUUAGAUACCCUGGUAGUCCACGCCGUAAACGAUGAAUAAGAGGUGUCGGGAGACAUAGUCCUUCGGUGCCGCAGCAAACGCAAUAAGUAUUCCCCCCGGGGGAGUACGUUCGCAAGAAUGAAAAUCAAAGGAAUAGACGGGGACCCGCACAAGCGGUGGAGCAUGUGGUUUAAUUUGUAGCAACGCGAAGAACCUUACCAAGUCUUGACAUCCCGGUGACAAAGUAUGUAAUGUACUCUUUCUUCGGGACACCGGCGACAGGUGGUGCAUGGUUGUCGUCAGCUCGUGUCGUGAGAAGUUGGGUUAAGUCCCGCAACGAGCGCAACCCCCCUCCUUAGUAGCCAGCAGUUCGGCUGGGCACUCUAGGGAGACUGCCAGGGAUAACCUGGAGGAAGGCGGGGAGGACGUCAAAUCAUCAUGCCCCCUAUGACUUGGGGUACACACGCGCUACAAUGGCGUAAACAAAGGGAAGCGAAAGGGUGACCUCUAGCAAAUCCCAAAAAUAAC